AUUGAACGCUGGCGGCAUGCCUUACACAUGCAAGUCGAACGGCAGCACGGGAGCAAUCCUGGUGGCGAGUGGCGAACGGGUGAGUAAUAUAUCGGAACGUGCCCGGUCGUGGGGAUAACGUAGCGAAAGCUACGCUAAUACCGCAUACGAUCUACGGAUGAAAGCGGGGGGAUCGCAAGACCUCGCGCGAUUGGAGCGGCCGAUAUCAGAUUAGGUAGUUGGUGAGGUAAAGGCUCACCAAGCCGACGAUCUGUAGCUGGUCUGAGAGGACGACCAGCCACACUGGGACUGAGCACGGCCCAGACUCCUACGGGAGGCAGCAGUGGGAAUUUUGGACAAUGGGCGCAAGCCUGAUCCAGCAAUGCCGCGUGCAGGAUGAAGGCCUU
rnacentral:rRNA from 1 species